GCCUUGGUGGCGGAAUUGGUAGACGCGCUGGAUUCAAAAUCCAGUUCCGGUUUCGGAGUGUGGGUUCGAUUCCCACCCAAGGUACUA
rnacentral:tRNA from 1 species